rnacentral:tRNA from 1 species
UAGCUCAGUUGGUAGAGCAUGUCACUUGCAACGCCAGGGUUGUGGGUUCGAUUCCCAC